rnacentral:rRNA from 1 species
GUGGUAUAGGAUUGGCUCGCGUGACAUUAGCCAGAUGGUGAGGUAACGGCUCACCAUAGCAAUGAUGUCUAGGGGUUUUGAGAGGAAGGCCCCCCACACUGGGACUGAGACACGGCCCAGACUCCUACGGGAGGCAGCAGUGAGGAAUAUUGGACAAUGGAUGGAAAUCUGAUCCAGCCAUGCCGCGUGCAGGAAGACGGCCUUAUGGGUUGUAAACUGCUUUUAUACGGGAGCAAUAAGGGUUACGAGUAAUCCGAUGAGAGUACUGUAUGAAUAAGGAUCGGCUAACUCCGUGCCAGCAGCCGCGGUAAUACGGAGGAUCCGAGCGUUAUCCGGAAUUAUUGGGUUUAAAGGGUGCGUAGGCGGCCAUUUAAGUCAGCGGUGAAAUUUUGCAGCUUAACUGUAACAGUGCCGUUGAUACUGUUUGGCUAGGAUUUGGUUGUAGUGUGCGGAAUGUGUGGUGUAGCGGUGAAAUGCUUAGAUAUCACACAGAACACCGAUUGCGAAGGCAGCACACUAAGUCAUUAUUGACGCUGAGGCACGAAAGUGUGGGGAUCAAACAGGAUUAGAUACCCUGGUAGUCCACACUGUAAACGAUGAUAACUCGCUGUCGGCGAUACACAGUCGGUGGCCAAGCGAAAGCAUUAAGUUAUCCACCUGGGGAGUACGACCGCAAGGUUGAAACUCAAAGGAAUUGACGGGGGCCCGCACAAGCGGAGGAACAUGUGGUUUAAUUCGAUGAUACGCGAGGAACCUUACCCGGGCUCGAACGGUGCAUGAAUAUACGAGAGAUUGUAUAGUCCUUCGGGACAUGUAUCGAGGUGCUGCAUGGUUGUCGUCAGCUCGUGCCGUGAGGUGUCGGCUUAAGUGCCAUAACGAGCGCAACCCUUGUCAUUAGUUGCCAUCAGGUCAAGCUGGGGACUUUAAUGAGACUGCCACCGUAAGGUGUGAGGAAGGGGGGGAUGACGUCAAAUCAGCACGGCCCUUAUGUCCGGGGCGACACACGUGUUACAAUGGGAGGUACAGAGGGCAGCUAUCCGGUGACAGAAUGCUAAUCUCCAAAACCUUUCUCAGUUCGGAUUGGAGUCUGCAACUCGACUCCAUGAAGGUGGAUUCGCUAGUAAUCGCGCAUCAGCCACGGCGCGGUGAA